CAGGGAGACAAUAAAUUGAUUGUGAUGUCUAAGUUAUUUAUUCUUAGGCCGCAAUCCUGUCACCUUAAGGUCGAUCGGUACCUCAGAUUUUUGAAUUAGUUUUACGAUUGAUUCUUUGAUUUCAGUUCCUAAACUUGUCUAGGUCACACCCAACAAAGGUUUCUCCUGGGCCAUUAGCUCAGGUGGUUAGAGCGCACCCCUGAUAAGGGUGAGGUCCCUGGUUCAAGUCCAGGAUGGCCCAUUCGUUGUUGGGGGUAUAGCUCAGUUGGUAGAGCGCCUGCUUUGCAAGCAGGAUGUCAGCGGUUCGAGUCCGCUUACCUCCACUGAAAACUAUCCUGAUAACUAAAUUUCUGGAGAAAAAAUUGUAGAUGUGGCUUAGAAUUGUCUAUUUGAAAAGAACCUAGCUUCUUGUCAUCUUUUUAUAGUUGAUAAAAUGCUGGGCUCGCAUGGAUUAUUUCCAUGAGAAUUCAGUAGAACCUUGAAAACUGCAUAGAUUAGAAAGAAUAAAGCAUCUCAUGGAUGCAUAGUUCUGUUUUUAUAAUUUAGCCUUAAAACUAAAUUAUUUAAUCCUAGAAUUCAUGUUUAAUUCUUGAGUAAUAGCCGAGCACAAUUGAUUUUGUGAUUGUAUUAAA
rnacentral:tRNA from 1 species